UGGGGAAUUUUGCGCAAUGGGGGAAACCCUGACGCAGCAACGCCGCGUGGAGGAUGAAGUAUCUUGGUACGUAAACUCCUUUCGAUGGGGAAGAUAAUGACGGUACCCAUAGAAGAAGCCCCGGCUAACUUCGUGCCAGCAGCCGCGGUAAUACGAGGGGGGCAAGCGUUGUUCGGAUUUAUUGGGCGUAAAGGGUGCGUAGGCGGUUUGAUAAGUCUAGUGUGAAAUCUAUGGGCUCAACCCAUAGUCUGCACUGGAAACUGUCGGGCUUGAGUAUGGGAGAGGUGAGUGGAAUUUCCGGUGUAGCGGUGAAAUGCGUAGAUAUCGGAAGGAACACCAGUGGCGAAAGCGGCUCACUGGACCAUAACUGACGCUGAAGCACGAAAGCUAGGGGAGCAAAC
rnacentral:rRNA from 1 species